rnacentral:rRNA from 1 species
UUUCAACAUGAGAGUUUGAUUCUGGCUCAGAACGAACGCUGGCGGCAGGCUUAACACAUGCAAGUCGAACGAGAAGCUUACUUCGGUAAGUGGAAAGUGGCAGACGGGUGAGUAACGCGUGGCAACCUACCUUUUUCUACGGAACAACAGUUGGAAACGACUGCUAAUACCGUAUACGCCCUCCGGGGGAAAGAUUUAUCGGUGAAAGAUGGGGCCGCGUUAGAUUAGCUAGUUGGUGAGGUAAUGGCUCACCAAGGCGACGAUCUAUAGCUGGUCUGAGAGGAUGAUCAGCCACACUGGGACUGAGACACGG